rnacentral:tRNA from 1 species
UCCCAGAAAGCUCAGUCAGUAGAGCAUUAGAUUUUUAACCUGAGGGUCUCAGGUUCAAGUCCCUGUUUGGGCU